ACAGCCCUGCCUGCGCCGCUGCCCCCAGCGCCGGUGCCGAUGCCGGGCCCAGGCCGAGCCCAGGCCCAGGCCCAGCCUAGGCACGCUCUGCCGCCCGCUCACCGCCCGGCUCGCCUGGCUGCAGAGGGCACCAGAGCAUCGGGAAGAAACCCGGCCCCGGCCAAGGCAACCGCUCGUCCUCCUACCAGGGGUGGGGGCAAGGGACAAACCCCAGCCCCUGCUGCACAGUUUCCAGUUAUGUCUAUGGAGAGUUUACGGGAAUACCCUGAAUCCUAUUAUGAAACACUGCUGCUGCUUCAGGACCAUCUGGCACUGCUGACACUGUGCUAGGAGAAAGAGAGAACAAGCCACGGCGCCAGCGAGGGAGCAGAGCGGGGAUUUACGGCCCAGAGGAACUUGCUUCAUCUGGUCAGCGGCUCCACACCAAGAAUAGUAACAGUAAAUACAUCUGAGCAACCAGCUCUACUUCUCACCUAAGUAAUAUCCUGGACUGGGAGAAAACGAAAAUUGAGCAAUGUGUUUAGGUAGUUGUUUCCUUGGUAUUUUUUCGCCCCAAGGCACAGGGAGUGUCUAAAAGCAGCGUAGGCUGCUUGUCCCCGAGACAGCCAAGGACCUCGGCAGCUGCAGGGGAGCCGUGGCCUUCGUGCUCAGGACGGUGGACUUCAGGUGUGCAGAGACAGCAAGGGCUGUCCACCUCCACUGCACCAGUCACGCUGACCCAGUUAAGUCUGUGCUCAUCUACCAUCAGUCUACAAGCAUCCAGGGAAUAUUUCAGAUCAUGGCUACAAAGCAGCAUCUUCUCUGCUCUCCCCCAUUUUCCCGGGUUUGGGUCUCCACAUAACUAUUCUUUAGCUUUUAAUAAAGCGGAUGUGUCUGCAUCUCUGGCUUAUUGCAAGAUGCUUUUCAUGGAUCAGAGGGAGAACGGGUUAAAAAACUGCCUUUGGUUUUGGCAGAAAAGCAAUAGUUUAGAGACAAGUCAAUUGAGAACCUUUUGAAAGACUUCAAGAAAUCACUGGAUGGAGCCCAUAAGGAACAGGAAAUAAGCACUACUCUUACCCGCAACAUCAGGUCCAGCAGCUUCCGUGGAGAGCUAGCACUUGUCCUGCAGCUUACUGUGGAGAAGUGUUUAGACUCGGCACAUUUUUACCCCAGCAUCUUUAAACAUCCCCACAAUAUGUGAAAACUGCUGAAACUGUUACUCGCGAACUCCAGGUGGGAAGGGCUAAGCUCCCAGCCUUGAACAACCUAAACCUGUCAAUAUUUCAGAUCUUCACCUGAGUUUAGCAGAUGGGACCUGUCAUUACCAGCAAAGGAAAAGGACCGUGUUUUCCUUAUGAGCUCAUCAUCUACUCCUUUCGUGACAUCAUUGCAGAAUAUUUAGCUAAGUAACUUGAUAAGCCUUUGGGGGUUGUUUUGGGGAGGGUUUUUUUUUUUUUUCACUUUUAAAUCAAUAAGGGCUCCAUUGUUGCUCCAGAUAAGCAGCCAUUUUGGGUUACUUGAGUACAAGCUGCAGAUAAGAUGACUGUCUCCUGGAGGCUUUUGUUCUCUCUUUUUUGCUUGUGGUUUUUUUGUUUCUUCCCCUCUUAAAGUAAAAUAGGGGUAGCACUAGCUGAAAGUUCACUAUGAGGUUGUUCUUCAUGCAUGGGAAAGUAGAGUGAUCACAAGCCCUUCCGCAAUGACUAGCUGGGGAAUCUGCACUGCCCUUGGGACUCCAGGGCCUGAAUUUGCAAGUCUUGCUUGCGUAUGUGAGCUAGCAUGCGCGCGCACACACACUGCAAUAUUGCAGCCUUUUCCCCCUGCAGGGUGGGUUGAAGGCUGGGCAUACUGUUAAUAUAAUUAAUAUCUAAUGUUUCUCUGUUAAAGAUGUCUGUGAUGCAGAAUCUGGGAACCAAGAUCCUUGCAUGAUGAAAAUGGACACAACUCUGCAUCAGCCCUGGAAAACACCGAUUUGUGAGCUUACAGCACGAUAUGUGGGAAUACUGUCCUUCAUCUUUUACAUGCCGAGUUUUACAACCACAAAAAUGGUGUAAAGACGUGACCUACAAACAAUUGCUCUACGUGCAUAUAAAGCUGGGGUAGGACUUAGACCAUGCUUCGUUGCUUUUCAUCUGAGUUCUUCCAGCUCUUGGGAAGAGAAGGAAACUGUUCUGACCAUCCCGCACAACCCCCUGGACAGCCCACGUCAGAGCCCUCCUGCCAUUCCCUGACUACAUCCCUGUCCUCUGCCACAAUGAGCCCAGGCAAUAAUCACAGGGGAGUGCCCACGGGCAAGCGGGGAAUGAGCCAGUCCAGCCUAUUCCCUGAUUUGCAGGGUCAACAGUUCCUUGUACCACUUCACACUUGCAGAGCAUAUCCCAGAGGAUGCAGACCCAGGCCACCAGCUGAAACAGUUGUGCUCCGCUUUCAGCCCGACAGUAAUUCACAACAUAAAGAUGGAUGACCAGCUUUCCUUCCUUACUUGCCUGGGUUCUGUAAGGCUUCGAACAGCUCUUAAUUCUGUUUGGUGCCUUGCCUAAUAGGGCUUCGAAAAAGUUCCUCUAAAUAGGAGUCAUUGUGAUAAAUUACUCCUCAUUAACUAAUCAACCUGCUCAAUAACAUUGUGAAAGAUGCAGUUAAAUAAGUUUUAUCAGCCCCAGUUUACAAACAGACCACGAGAUUACCUGUGAGAUAUGCUCAAAGCUACAUACCAUAAACAGUCAGAAGGAAAGCCCAGACUAGACUUCUCUCCUAAAGCCAUGCUGUGGUCUCCAGAGAGCGCACUACCUCUAAAAUCAGUCUUUAUCAUCAGGUCCUCAGGCUCUUGCAAGAGUUCUCUCAUCCUCAUCCUCCUAUUUCACAGACUCCAUUUCUCUAAAGCAUGCUGGAAGAGGCAGUCCUGGUACUUGAGCUGUACUUGACUAUGAAGCAUCUACCCCAGAUUGCAGGAAACUACUGCACUUACUUAAGCCUGCCUUGAACUUUGGUACAACAUACCAUGGGGACCAUGUCAAAUCACACUCACCUCCCCCUACCCAGGGAUACACAAGCUCUCCUAGCACCCCUGUCCUGAUUCAGGUGGUUUAACUGAGCAUUAAUGAUAAUCAGUUACUCACAAACAUCUGAGCUGAAACUUCUCAUUUGCUGAGCUUUUGUUUUCCACAGGUGUAAGUGCACAGGGCUCCACACCCUGCUAGUUUCCAGUCUUUGUUUUCCAUACUGCUUGAAUUUCCAUCCUUCCUCCCCACCACACCUGCCACAGAGGAAACACCUAAUAUGCCUGUGUAUCUUUUUUUUUGCCUGUAAUACGUUAACUUAAUUCAAUGGGGCAUGUUGAUUCCUGAGAAGUGUGUAAAGUCAAGGAAUGCAUCUUCUAGGGGAUGUAAGGUUGAGGUGAUGGACCUCUCAGGCAGUGUUUCCCCUACACCACACAAGUAAGAUAGAAUUUUUCACCUCUCCUGAAAAAAAAAAAAAAGAAAAAAAAGAAGGCUGUCUUAACAUGUUUAUAACUGUGGCUGCAUCCUAGAAAAUAGAUAACCUGAGGAAAAAAAAUAAAAGACUAUGAGGUAUUAACUA